ACCCAAAGGAAACACUCUUCCUCAAGCACACCCUUCUUGCCAAAUUAUCUGAAACAAGUGAAACCCUAACUUCAAAUAUUCUUGGACCAAUUUUUAGAUUCUAAGCUACAAACUAAGAACUAAAAACUACAAUGAGAAAUACUCAAUCAAUUCAUCCAAGUCUUGGAAAAAUACAAGCUAAAGGGUCUAUUUAUACUUAUUACAAAUAAUGACAAAAAUACCCUUAAUGAAGGGUGCUCCUUUGGAGUGUAAAAAUAGACAAGAAUGCCCUUAAUGAACCCCCAAAUAGAGGCAGCCUUUGGAGUGUAUUUCAAAGCUCCUCUUCACACUUUAGCAUAUACACUCCAAUAGGUGAACUCAUGAAACAAUCACAAGCUUCCAACUUCGUGAACAUUGCUUGAAGACCGCGUAGCUCUUUGACUUGAUUCCUUGUAAAAGGUCUUGUACUCUAGGUGCUUCUCAUGCUUGUAUCAAAUAGAGAACCUGAUAUUCGAUGCGAACAAUCAGUCAAAGAAGCAGAUCUUGGAGCCUUUACUUUAUAUAAAGUGCACUCACUCUAACGGCUUACCUUUUGCAUGAUGGGUCAGCGAGGAAAUGGGAACAGCAGCUUAAGCUAUUAGGUGUAGGCACUUUCCAGAGGUGGAAUCUUCUAGUUCUUUCUAUUUGACCCAAAACUGAUCGAUCUAUCCAUGAGUAGGUUGAAGAGAGCUCUAACAGGCCUUGAAGGACCGAACCCACGUAUGUGGCAAAAUACGGGGAUAACUUGUGGCUAGGGGUGAAAGGCCAACCAAGAUCGGAUAUAGCUAGUUUUCCGUGAAAUCUAUUUUAGUAGAGCGUAUGAUGUCGAUUGCUCGAGGUAGAGCACUCAAUGGUCUAGGGUGGCCUCAUUUCACCUUACCAACCCUAGGGAAACUCCGAAUACAGGCCUAGAUCGUUUGUAUAAAUAGACUUUUUGGGUGCUAAGAUCCAAAGUCGAUAGGGAAGAUCGUACACUAAGGUCCUUAAGCAAUCACUUAGUGGAAAAAAAAUGAUCGACCGAUGACAACCAGGAGGUGGGCUUAGAACUAGCCAUCCUUUGAAGAAAGCGUAAUAGCUCACUAGUCUAACUCCAUGGUACCAAAAAUGUAUCAGGGCUCAAAUGAUUCACCGAAGUGAUGAGACCUUGAAAGCUACUUUUCAAGUAUCAGUAGCGGAAUGUUCAGUCAAUCGGGGAAGGUUUUUGGUGACAAGACCUGGAGAUAUCAAAAGUGAGAAUGCUGACAUGAGUAAUGAAAAAUCCUGUGAAAAACAUGAUCGAACGCCACUGAAAGGUUUUAUACGUUCAGUCAAUCUACUCAGAGUGAAUCGGUCCCUAAGGAACCCCCAAAAGGGCCUAGUCUGAUGGGUACAUGAAAGUGAUAAAGUUGCUUUAACUACAGAACUAUGCCUGUCUAUUGGAGCGAAUUGGAUGAUCGAGCCGAGGGCUUCCCCCUUUUUUCCUCACUCUCCUUACCCUGAUAUGAACCUUGAGUCAUCAAAGCCUUUUUGACUCGCCUGGCUCGGUCGCCCUAUGCGACUAGCGCUUCAUAAGGCAAAACUCUCGGUCGUAGUUUGGCGUCCUAUCUUUAGUAGGGGCCUUUAGUCUUUUGAUUAGAGUAGGGGUCGCGAGAGAGUAGAGCGAACCGCCCUGCCAUAGUCACGAGUUUAUUUAUAGUCGCGACUAUUGUCAUAGUCAACAAGGUGGAAACUUCCAGGAAAAAACUUCGAAUUAGGAGGAAGAUCCUCCUGAUGAACUGACCGUACCCCAAACCGACAUAGGUGAACAAGUAGAGUAUACUAGGGCACUUGAGAGAACCAUAUCGAAGAAACUUGACAAAAUAACCUCAUAACUUCGGGAUAAAGGGUGCUCUCCUAUUUUUUAAUUAGGAAAGUGGCACAUACCAGGGGGUAGCGACUGUUUAUUUAAAAUGUAGGACUCUGCUAAGUGGUAACAAGGUGUAUAGAGUUUGACACCUACCCGAUGCUGGAAGGUCGGAAGGAGAAGUGUUAUAAGCUUUGAAUGAAAGCCCCGAUAAAUGGCGGUAGUAACUCUAACUAUCCUAAGGUAGCGAAACUCCUUGUUGCAUAAGUAGCGACCUCCACGAAUGAGGUAACGACUGGCCCGCUAUCUCUGAUAUGGACCCGGUGAAAUUAAAUUCUCCGUGAAGAUGCAGAGUACCAACGGCUAGAUGGUAAGACCCCGUGCACCAUAACUAUAGCUUCGCAGUGACAACCUUAAUCUAAUGUGUAGGAUAGGUGGGAGGUGGUGACACACAACGACCAAUCUUGAAAGACCACUCUUUCUUCUAAAGAUGCCUAACCGUUGCACCGAUCAUUCGAGAGGAGGCAAGACACUGCAAAGUAGGUAUUUUAUCUGGGGUAGAUGCCUCCUAAAGGGUAACGGAGGUAUCCAAAGGUAGGCUCAAGCUAAGAUUCUGUUCAUAAGAAUAAUGGUAUAAGCCUACCUGACUGUGAGAUCGACUAGUUGAAUAGAGAUAAAAGUCAGCCAUAGUAAUUUGGGUGUCCCAUGUGGAAGGGCUCUCACUCAAUGGACAAAGGUACACCAGGGAUAACAAGCUGAUAACUCCCAAGAGCUCUUAUCGACGGAGUCAUUUGGCACCUCGUGUCGACUUAUCAUAUCUUGGGGUUGAAGAAGUUCCCAAGGGUUUGGUUGUUCAUCAAUUUAAGUGGUACAUGAGUUGGGUUUAGAACAUUGUGAGACAGUUUGGUUCCUAUCUACCGGUGGUGUUAAAGGGAGAACUACGAGGUGCCAAACCUAGUAUGAGAGAACUGGGUUGGGCUAACCUAUAGUGUACCGGUUGUUAUGCUAAUAGCAUGCCGGGCAGCUAAGUUGCUAUGGAAAAACUAUUGCACCAUGGGAAAUCCUUCUCUAUAUAAGUUCUUGGAUGAGGUUUUUGAACAGAACUUUGAUAGGCGAGAGGUGAAAGCACCGCGAGGUGUGAAGCAAUCUCGUACUAAACGAAAUGAGUUUCACUU
rnacentral:rRNA from 1 species